AUCACGCAGGAUUACAGAGACGGAAAAAGAAAAGCUCACUGACUAAUGACGCCAUUUCAUUCUUUGCCUUCUUUCUUAAUAUCCUCUCCUAAACACAGACCACAACAUCUACAGCUGCUCUGACUCUCAAAGUGGUCUGGUGCUUUUAUCCUCUCUUAUAGUCUGUGUGCAGCACGCCAAAGUCACAGAGGACUUUAACCUGCUGGCCUCCUCUGACCAGGCUUUGCAGGGGGAUGUGCACAGAGCCAAGGAUUCGUCUGAUCGGGGCAUCUUGGACCAGCUCAGGUUGGUUGGCUUUGGUCAGCGGGACUUCUUCAGAAGCAGCAGGCCAUGACAGGACCUAAAGCCACAAACUAUGAGUUUCGAUGCAUUUUGCGGCUCACGCUGGCCAACAAAUCUUCAGCACAUUGUCUGCUUCAGAAAUAAAAUGGGAUAUUUCUGGUGUUCUAUGUGCCUUCCUCCCUUAUUUCAUCCAAAUGACUUUCCUGAUGAGAACUUCCCAUAUCUCAGGAGGGCUGAGACCCUGAGUACACAUGCUUGUGACCUGCUGAGGUUGGGUUUGUGUCUCCUCCGGGAAACAAAUCAGGGAUCUAUUACUUCAUAUAUGCUGAUUCUAAAUAUUGUAAUUAAAAAUAGCUCAUUGUCUCAUGCUUCUAAGAUAUUUAUUUUUAGGUUUAACCAAUUAAUUUUGGACCACGUGAUAAACUGUGACUGUUGUGGAGAGCCUCAUCAAUAAGCUUACAGAGACAACAUUAGUGCUGAACAUAAUUGAAUUCAGCCUAUCAGUGCGGCCCAAGGUUAUCAUGUGGACUCUUGAGUAAAUUAUUGCCUAUCACUUAUUUGGAUGGUGGACUUUUAAUCAUAAAUGAAAAAUGUGAAAAACUAUUUCUAUAGAGAUGAUGUAAUAUGAAACAUUAUUAACUGGAACUCUUUUUAAUCAGAGUGCAGCAUCAAGUCAGUUAAACUUCUGGGAUAUUGAUCAGGUCAGUUUAGUAUCAGAGGGGUUUUUUAAACAGUUUCAAAUGCUUUGGUGUUAAUGAAAUUAACAACAGGUGCACUACAGCGAGAACAAUAAGACAACCCCCAUAACCUGAAUGGUUUUACAGGUGGAGGUUGCUGGCAGUAGGAUCCGUGUCACUGCUGGUGGUAGGAGGUAACACAUGGACCUACAGAGGGUGCACAGGUAGUCCAACUCCUCCCGGAUGGCUCAUCAAUGUGUGCCAUUGCAGGAAGGUUUGGUGUGUCUCCCAGGACAGUCUCAAGAACAUGGACGAGAUUCCAGGAGACAGACAGUUACUCUAGUAGAGCGGGACAGGGUCGUAGAAGGUCCUUAACCCAUCAACAGGACCGGUAUCUACCCUAGUGCGCACAGAGGAACAAGAUAAGCUCUGCCACAGCUACAAAAUGACCUCAGACUUCAACAAACUUCAUGAGGGUGGCCUGAGGGCACAAUGUCCUCUAGUAGGCGCUGUGCUCACUGUCUGGCACCAUGGAGCCUGCUUGGUCUUAGCUACAGAAUACCAGAACUGGCAGGUCCACCACUUUUCACAAAUGAGAGCCGGUUCACCCUGAGCACAUGUGACAGACAUGAAAGGGUCUGGAGAGGCUGAGGAGAACCUUAAGCUGCCUGUAACAUCGUUCAGCAUGACUGGUUUGGUGGUGACCCAGUGAUUGUCUGGGGAGGCAUGCCCAUGGAGGGGUAGUCCAUCUAACGCCACCAGGUUGCACCUCAGACUGUCCAAGAGUGAUACCCUGGUCCAGAUCUGGAAUUAGAUCCGCAGGACCUCAUCCAUCCUCACAUUACGUGCAUACGAGCACACGGGGUCAUACAGACCAUUCUGAGUUGCUGCAAUGAAAGUUUGGCAAAACGGACUGGCCUGCAGCAUCAUUUUUUCACUUUGGUUUUUGUGUGUCUUUGAAUUCAAGAUGACCCCAAUGAAGAGCUUUAACCUCUUCAAAGUGCCUUUCAGUCAUUUCAGGUUUCAGUGAAGAACUUUCAGUGAAUCAGAAAAGUUUGGCUGCAGGCCUGUGUAAUCACACACCCUAUCAAACCUGACU